UACGUAGGGGGCAAGCGUUGUCCGGAAUUAUUGGGCGUAAAGCGCGUGUAGGCGGCUUUGCAAGUCGGGUGUGAAAGCCCUCAGCUCAACUGAGGAAGUGCGCCCGAAACUGCAGAGCUUGAAUACCGGAGAGGAUGGCGGAAUUCCCCAAGUAGAGGUGAAAUUCGUAGAUAUGGGGAGGAACACCGGUGGCGAAGGCGGCCAUCUGGACGGCUAUUGACGCUGAGACGCGAAAGCGUGGGGAGCAAACAGG
rnacentral:rRNA from 1 species